AACAACGCCCCGCGCUACUCGCCCGCAGCAAGCGCGCCUCGCAUUGGCUACCGGCGGGAAGGGGCGGGCUCGGCCGGCUCGGGUGUGCUGUCCGACGGCUGUGCUGAACUUUAUUUAUUAAACAGCAGAGCGGGGUUUUUCCUUUUCUACGCCUCCUAACAUCCUCACGACACUUGAGGCAGCUGUUCAAUAUACGUGUCCCGGCAGAAAAGAAGAGCUAGAAAAGAAGAUACAAUAUUCUUCCUUCAAGACAGCCAGGGUCCACCUCUACACUUGUUCAUUCGGGGGCUUUUCUACACCCUCCCACUCGCAGGCACCAGCCAGCGCUCCAGCACGGCCAGGCUGCUCGCCCAGGCGCUUGCAAGAGCCACUGCACAGAUUUAAAGGCUGCUUUUGAAAACAGGCCCAGCAAGACUGACCUGGGAUCUCCUCAGCAGGGCCAGGCAAAGCUCUUGCAAGCUACAGACACGAGCAGCAGGCUGACAGGCUUAUAGAAAAUAUUUUAAAGUUUUUCCUGGAAGAUGAGCUUCAUCAAAUAGAUGCAUAUUCUGUAGUAAAGAAAAUGUCUUUUGUUAGACAACUGAAUGAAGUUAAGAAGUUCAGAGGAUCAUCUCUACACAAUCUCCAUCCUAUACCUGCUUCCAGAAGAGCAUAUCCUGAAAUAACAUGGCAAUACCUCUGUUAAGUAAACUUCUCUUGCUUUUCUCUCUGUAGUAUUGCUGCUAUACCACAGAAGUGGGAAAUAAUUUCUCUUGAGAUUUUUAGUUAAUCAUCUUCUGAGGAAAAACACUGUUUCUAGAUAAAUACAGAUUUUAAAUGGAUUCUUUAUAUUUAAUUAUUUGUACUCAGGUUAUCAGUACCUUUAAAAAACAAAAUCCAUUGUUAAUGCCCUUAUAAUUGGCAAUCCUGAACCUGCUUUCCUUCAAUAAACUGUACUAUUUCUGAACCUGUAAUCAUGGAAGUUCUUAUUGAAUUCAACCAGACCUAUAGUGCUGAAUUGAUUCUAAUCAGAAGUCAAGUCUGGUCACACCCAGCCCCUCUGAUCUCUGAGGACCAGCUGGAAUGCAAAGAGGUGUUUUUUCUGCUAAAUUUCUAUUCCCUUAAUGCAGAAGUCACUUCUAGCUGCUGAUGUUUAAUGAAGGCACUUGCUGCUGUACACUUUUCAGUACCUCUUUACAUAAGGGAAAAAUGGAUGUAGCAAAAGCCUUAGAAGCAUCCUGUGUAAGCAGAAAGUUUGGAUUAAAAUGUCCCACUGUGGCUGCAAAUUUCUGCUGUGACUGUUGUGAUGUCCGUGUACUUUAGGUUGUAUUUAAGCACUGUCAGGAGGCGCUGACUGAGCGGCUCUAAGUGUGUUAUAAGGCAUUCAGUAAUUUAGACUAACCCAAAGAAGGAAGUCUGACCUUUUCACAUCUCCCUAGAGUUUGUUAAUGAGGAGUGGUGAAGGAAAAAUAGUACAUUACUUCUAGUUGAUAUGGCACUCUUUACGAAACAAAUGUAGUGUGAAAAUCUAUUAAAUAUGCUUAUUUUAUCUGUUUAAUACUUUGGAUUAGUCUAGCUUUUAAAAUUCACUUCUGGUAACAUAUACCUAAACUCAUAUUCUUACCUGUUCUAGUAGAAAUCUUUUCAAAAUGCACCAUGCCUGUAAAUCAAGGUGAGAGAAACUUAAGCAAAUAAUCAUAUUUAAUAGUAUCUAAUAAUAACAGUAGCUUAGCCAAGUAGUGAUGCAGAUUCAUUAUGCAAAUUUUGCCUGAAUACAACAAUAUAAAUCUGCUUGUACUUUUGGCCUUUGGUCUGCUGUGUGUAGAUUUUGCAUAUCCCAAAAAAACUGGAAGGUGGCUUCUGUUGGAGAUAGGCAAGCAAGCUCAUUUCUGAUGACUCCUACAUUGGUGUAUGUCUAUUGUGGGUAUGUUUUCAACACAGCUUUAAAAGUAUUUAUGAAAGUUGUUUUAUAGCACAGGUGAAAAAUGUUCCUGGUUAGUCUCCAACAUCUAGCUGUAGUCUGGUGGCUUUUCCUAGUUGCUCUGCCUUCCCUUGGAGUGAGAUUUGAGUCCCAGCAUCAAAAUGGAAGGCAGUUCAGGAGAAAAUGCUACAAAAGUAAUGUUCUGUGGGUUGGAAUAGAUUAAUGGGCUGCUCUCAGAAGAAUAAUUCUGAGAAGUUUACAGCCCAGUUUAACCAGCUAUGUUUCUUAGCAUUUUUUACAUGUCUAACAAAUAUACUCAGGGAAAAUGAAAAGUGAGGGGGGAAACCCCUUCUUUAAGGAACUGUUUUUAUCAUUUUUAGCAGCAUUGUUAAGCAGUAAAGUAGUGAAACUUGGUGACGUUCUAGUACAGUUUUGCAGUCUGUGCUGUUCCUUAAUUGAUUUUCCAGUUGACUGCAGAUGGCUACACCAGGGGUGAUUGUAGAGAGAAGCUAUACAUGUAGUUUUACCAACAGAUGCAGAAAAAAUGAGACACCUUCUGACUGUCAUUGCUGCCACCAGCAAUGAAGAAAAGUUGUGAAACACUUUUAGAACUGCUUAAAAAAGUAGCACAUCAUCAUGUGCCUGUGCAGGAUGCUCUCUUAGUUAAAGCUCUUGGGAACAGAUCUGCUGAGUGUACCAGGGUUUCACACUAGACAGCUGAUCUGCCUAGCAUGGGAACUGUGAGAUGUGCAGUGUGCCCCUGAACAUGAGACUUAUUUCUUUUACAAGCAGGAAAAUAUUUGGAUUGGUUGGAGUUGAACCCAGUAAGUGACCCUGCAAAUACCAGAUAAUUGAAGGGCUCUCAGAUGCAAAGGAUAUUCCUUGACCUCUUCUUUUAGCACCUGUUAAAAGGUUUGGAGUUCUGGGAUGUUCUUGAAUCAACCUGCAAAAUGGCCACAGCUUGGAGGACACCUGCCUUUUGCCACCAGCCAUUCAUGUUAAACCACUGCAGCACCAAUGGGGAGCUUUAGCUAAGAAGACACUGCUGGCAGCACUGAGAAUAGUGGAAGUCCUGUAACCACCAUCACACCCUCUGUCAUCUGCGAAAAAUGAAAAUUUUAAGAAGGCUUUUCCUUUAAAACAAAUGUUCAUGAAUGUCACUGCUGCACCUUUGUGAUUUUAAAUUCAAGUUGUAAACAGUCACAGAAUAAAGUUAUGUGUUUUACACAGUU